GUCCCAGGUGUGCUCAGGUGUGUCUCAGGUGUGCUCAGGUGUGCUCAGGUGUGCUCAGGUGAGGGUCUGGGGGACAACAACUGCCACCACGGCGAGGACGCGGGGGUGCUGUGCGCAGGUGAGUGACACAGGUGAGACAGGUGAGACAGGUGUGCUCAGGUGUGCUCAGGUGUGCUCAGGUGUGCCCAGGUGUGCUCAGGUGUGCUCAGGUGUGCUCAGGUGUGCUCAGGUGUGCUCAGGUGAGGGUCUGGGGCAGCCACAACUGCCACCACGGCGAGGACGCGGCCGUGAUGUGCGCAGGUGAGUGUGGACAGGUGAGACAGGUGUGACAUGGACAGGUGAGACAUGGACAGGUGUGAAUGGA